UACUCGAGUGGCGAACGGGUGAGUAACACGUGGGUGAUCUGCCUUGCACUCUGGGAUAAGCUUUGGAAACUGGGUCUAAUACCGGAUAGGAACCGUCUUUAGUGUGGUGGUUGGAAAGUUUUUUCGGUGCAAGAUGAGCUCGCGGCCUAUCAGCUUGUUGGUGGGGUAAUGGCCUACCAAGGCGUCGACGGGUAGCCGGCCUGAGAGGGUGUACGGCCACAUUGGGACUGAGAUACGGCCCAG
rnacentral:rRNA from 1 species